UCCCUUCAUACUUGGAAGUGAUUGCUUGGCUCAACUUGAAGAAAGACAGACACAGAAACAGAUAUGUCACAGAGGGUAUGUAGAGAGCUCGUCAUACAUUAAUGCUAGUAUGUAUCAGAAAGCCUUGCAAUAAUUAAAGUCAAACUGAAGACAGAACAUAGUUUUCUUUGGAUGAAAGUAGGCUUUUUUCUUUCGACGGGGAUCUAUUGUACAACAUGGUAACAGUGCUAAUGUCAACAGGGACCGGGGACCAGUGUAACUUUAACAUCAGUGAGAAAUGUAAAGGGGGUCUACGCACUCAAAUGCCCACCCUGGGCCUCAUGUGACUCACACAAACUGUCUGAUCGCACACAUCUGUAUGCCGUGACUCAGAGAGUGGCCUAGAGAUAACCCUGACUCAUUCUUUCUCAUCUGGGGAUUUUGGAGGGUUGUGAACCAGCCCUAGCACUGUACUUUCAAUGGGCUCUCACAGGGCAUAAGCACCUAGAUGUGCUGUCAAAGAUUAGAGGUAUGUAUGGUUUUAAAUGUCAAUAACAGUGCUAUUUCAUUUCAUAUUAAGAUGUCUACCAAAUAAAACAACAAUUAAUUAUGAAAACAUUUUUUUCUGGCCUUUCUGGUGUGCUACUUUCUGGUCUACUAAUACAAUGUAAUUGUGAAA